AUGUGCAAUGGGGUUAUUGAAAGCAAAAUUCAAUAGUUGAAACCAUUGGAGAAGCUUGUUGAAUAUGAGGAAAGAGGAGAGAGAUGAUGAAUGGUUUCAACUAGUUGAAAAUCUGACCGAGGGGGCCACGUGGCGCGUUUCCAUUUGCCAGGCAGAGCGCGUGCAGCACACGCGCCGACAGGGCGCGUCACAGACAAGAAGACGCGGAGAGAGAAAUGUUUUUUGGAUAAUGCAGGACACGUGGCGCAAUCUGAUUGGCUGGCUGGAUUUUUAUCUUCUUAAUAAUUUGGACUCAAUUAUUUCAUUGCAAA
rnacentral:lncRNA from 1 species